ensembl:misc_RNA 7SK 7SK RNA
GGAUGAGAGGGCGAUCUGGCUAUGAGAUCUGUCACCCUAUUGAUUGCCAGGGUUGAUUCGGCUGAUCUGACUGGCUAGGCAGGUGUCCCCUUCCUCACCACACCCCUCACAAAGCUUCCUGCUUGGUCAAAGAGGACAAUGGUCUUUGGUCAUGGAUAUACGAGUAGCUGUGCUCUCCUGCUAGAACCUCCAAAGAAGCUCUCAAGAUACCACAAUCGAAAUGGGGCAAAUGGACAGGCCCCAAACCAAAGCAACAACUAAAACCAUCCAAAGCAACAUAAUCAUAAUGU